AAAAAAUGCGCGGAUGUGGCGGAAUUGGCAGACGCACUAGACUUAGGAUCUAGCGCCAUUGGCGUGGGGGUUCGACUCCCUUCAUCCGCACCAUUUUUAUUUAAUUUAAUAAACGAGCGGGAAUAGUUCAGUGGUAGAGCGCAACCUUGCCAAGGUUGAAGUCGCGAGUUCGAAUCUCGUUUCCCGCUCCNNNNNNNNNNNNNNNNNNNNNNNNNNNNNNNNNNNNNNNNNNNNNNNGCGUGGGGGUUCGACUCCCUUCAUCCGCACCAUUUUUGUUUGAUAUACAUAUAUAAAUUGUGGGUGCAUAGCUCAGCUGGAUAGAGCAACGCCCUUCUAAGGCGUGUGUCCGGGGUUCGAAUCCCUGUGCGCUCACCACAUAUAUAUUGGGGAUUAGCCAAGUCGGUAAGGCACAUGACUUUGACUCAUGUAUGCGUAGGUUCGAGUCCUGCAUCCCCAGCCAAAUGAUGUAUUACUAAGCUAUAUUUGAACUAUUUUUAUUUUAAAUAUAGUUAGGUUCAAUUUUAGAAUAAGUUUAAGUAUCCGAAUGUGGAGAGGUGUCCGAGUGGUUUAAGGAGCUGGUCUUGAAAACCAGUGACUUCGAAAGGGGCCGUGGGUUCGAAUCCCACCCUCUCCGCCAAAUGCCCAGAUAGCUCAGUCGGUAGAGCAGGGGACUGAAAAUCCCCGUGUCGGUGGUUCGAUUCCGCCUCUGGGCACCAAAAUAUGGCGGUAUAGCUUAGUUGGCUAGAGCGUUCGGUUCAUACCCGAAAGGUCAUAGGUUCGACUCCUAUUACCGCUACUAAAAUUUAAUGUGGGCCAUUAGCUCAGUUGGUUAGAGCGCCCGGCUCAUAACCGGUAGGUCUGGGGUUCGAGUCCCUGAUGGCCCACCACAUUAAAUUAANUCCGCUUUGAUAAUGCUGGGAUGUGAUGGGGAGCGAAAUUUAGUAGCGAAGUAGCUGAUUUCACACUGUCAAGAAAAGUCUCUAUCGAGGUUAAAGGUACCCGUACCGCAAACCGACACAGGUGGGUGAGGAGAGUAUCCUAAGGCCAGCGAGAGAACUGUUGUUAAGGAACUCGGCAAAAUGACCCCGUAACUUAGGGAUAAGGGGUGCCACCAUCAGGUGGCCGCAGAGAAUAGGCCCAAGCGACUGUUUACCAAAAACAUAGGUUUCUGCUAAGUCGCAAGACGAUGUAUAGGAGCUGACGCCUGCCCGGUGCUGGAAGGUUAAGGGGAUCUGUUAGAGCAAUCGAAGCAGUGAACUUAAGCCCCAGUAAACGGCGGCCGUAACUAUAACGGUCCUAAGGUAGCGAAAUUCCUUGUCGGGUAAGUUCCGACCCGCACGAAAGGCGUAACGAUUUGGGCACUGUCUCAACAACAGACUCGGUGAAAUUGUAAUUCCGGUGAAGAUGCCGGAUACCUGCGACAGGACGGAAAGACCCCAUGGAGCUUUACUGUAGCUUGACAUUGGGUCUUGGUACUACAUGUACAGGAUAGGUGGGAGGCUUUGAAACCAGGACGCCAGUUUUGGCGGAGCCAUCCUUGGGAUACCACCCUUGUAGUACUGGGACUCUAACCAUAGGCCAUGAAUCUGGUCUUGGGACACUGUCAGGUGGGCAGUUUGACUGGGGCGGUCGCCUCCCAAAAGGUAACGGAGGCGCUCAAAGGUUCUCUCAGUACGGUCGGAAAUCGUACGUAGAGUGUAAAGGCAAAAGAGAGCUUGAUUGCAAGACAUACAGGUCGAGCAAGGAUGAAAAUCGGACUUAGUGAUCCGGUGGUUCUGCGUGGAAGGGCCAUCGCUCAACGGAUAAAAGCUACCCUGGGGAUAACAGGCUUAUCUCCCCCAAGAGUCCACAUCGACGGGGAGGUUUGGCACCUCGAUGUCGGCUCAUCACAUCCUGGGGCUGUAGUAGGUCCCAAGGGUUGGGCUGUUCGCCCAUUAAAGUGGUACGCGAGCUGGGUUCAGAACGUCGUGAGACAGUUCGGUCCCUAUCCGUCGCAGGCGUAGGAAAUUUGAGAAGACCUGUCCUUAGUACGAGAGGACCGGGAUGGACGUACCUCUGGUGUACCAGUUGUUCUGCCAAGGGCAUGGCUGGGUAGCUAUGUACGGAAUGGAUAAGCGCUGAAAGCAUCUAAGCGCGAAGCCAACUUCAAGAUAAGAUUUCCCACCGCAAGGGUAAGACCCCAGAAAGACUAUCUGGUUGAUAGGUCGAAGGUGUAAGUGCAGCAAUGUAUUUAGCUUAUCGAUACUAAUAGGUCGAGGACUUGACCAA
rnacentral:rRNA from 1 species